GAGAAACCUUGCAUAGCGGGCGGCCGCCAA
rnacentral:sRNA from 1 species